rnacentral:rRNA from 1 species
GACGAACGCUGGCGGCGUGCUUAACACAUGCAAGUCGAACGCUGAAGACCUGGCUUUUGUUGGGUUGGAUGAGUGGCGAACGGGUGAGUAACACGUGAGUAACCUGCCCUCUUCUUUGGGAUAACGCCCGGAAACGGGUGCUAAUACUGGAUAUUCACUGAUCUUCGCAUGGGGGUUGGUGGAAAGGUUUGUUCUGGUGGGGGAUGGGCUCGCGGCCUAUCAGCUUGUUGGUGGGGUGAUGGCCUACCAAGGCUUUGACGGGUAGCCGGCCUGAGAGGGUGACCGGUCACAUUGGGACUGAGAUACGGCCCAGACUCCUACGGGAGGCAGCAGUGGGGAAUAUUGCACAAUGGGCGAAAGCCUGAUGCAGCGACGCCGCGUGAGGGAUGGAGGCCUUCGGGGUGGAAACCUCUUUCGCUCAUGGUCAAGCCGCAACUGUGGGUUGUGGUGAGGGUAGUGGGUAAAGAAGCGCCGGCUAACUACGUG